UACAGAGGGUGCGAGCGUUGUUCGGAUUUACUGGGCGUAAAGGGCGCGUAGGCGGCGUGGUAAGUCACUUGUGAAAUCUCUGAGCUUAACUCAGAACGGCCAAGUGAUACUGCUGUGCUAGAGUGCAGAAGGGGCAAUCGGAAUUCUUGGUGUAGCGGUGAAAUGCGUAGAUAUCAAGAGGAACACCUGAGGUGAAGACGGGUUGCUGGGCUGACACUGACGCUGAGGCGCGAAAGCCAGGGGAGCAAACGGG
rnacentral:rRNA from 1 species